GACAGAGGGUGCAAACGUUGCUCGGAAUCACUGGGCGUAAAGAGCGUGUAGGCGGCCAGGUAGGUCGGUUGUGAAAACUGGAGGCUCAACCUUCAGAGGUCGACCGAAACCAUCUGGCUAGAGUCCGGGAGAGGAGAGUGGAAUUCCUGGUGUAGCGGUGAAAUGCGCAGAUAUCUGGAGGAAUACCGGUGGCGAAGGCGGCAUCCUGGACCAUAACUGACGCUGAGGCGCGAAAGCUAGGGGAGCAAACGGG
rnacentral:rRNA from 1 species